rnacentral:rRNA from 1 species
GNNCUNGCNGCNGCUUACACAUGCAGUCGAGCGGAGAGAUGGAGACNCUGGUUCCCUGCAUGUCCGCCGGAGAGGGGAGUAAAGCUCAUGAGUCUGCCGAUUGUAGGAGGAGAACAUUCCCAAAGGACCGCUAAUACCGCCGGACCCUACGGGGAAACAGCAGGGGAUCUUCUGACCUGGGGCUUAUAGAUGAGCCUAACUCAGAUCCCCUGGUUGGUGGGGUAAAGGCCUACCAAGGCGACCAUCUGUGGCGGGUCUGAGAGGAUGAUCCGCCACACUGGGACUGAGACACGGCCCAGACUCCUACGGGAGGCAGCACUGGGGAAUAUUGGACAAUGGGCGCAAGCCUGAUCCAACCAUGCCGCGAGUGUGAACAAGGCCUUUUGGUUGUAAAGCACUUUAAGCGAGGAGGAGGCUACGUAAAAAAAUACUCUGGGAUAGUGGACGUUACUCGCAGAAGAAGCACCGGCUAACUCUGUGCCAGCAUCCGCGGUAAUACCCAGGGUGCGAGCGUUAAUCGGAUUUACUGGCCGUAAUGCGUGCGUAAGCGGCUUCUUAAGUCGGAUGUGAAAUCCCUGAGCUUAACUCACGAAUUGCACUCGAUACUGGGAAGCUAAAGUGUGGAAUAGGAUGGUAAAAUUCCAGGUGUAACUUUGAAAUGCGUAGAGAUCUGGAGGAAUACCGAUGGCGAACGCAGCCAUCUGGCCUAAUACUGACGCUGAGGUACGAAAGCAUGGGGAGCAAACAGGAUUAGAUACCCUGGUAGUCCAUGCCGUAAACCAUGUCUACUACCCGUUGGGGCCUUUGAUGCUUUAGUGCCGCCCCUAACGCGAUAAGUAGACCGCCUGGGGAGUACGCUCGCGAGACUCAAACUCAAAUGAAUAGACGGAGCACUCACAGCGGCCNAGCAGUGGUUGAAUUCGAUGCUAUCACUUAGACCAUACCUGGUACUCGUCUAGUACUAGCUUUCCUCAGACGACCUGUGCCUUCGNNANNCACUUNACAGGUGCNGCAACGCUGUCGUCAAGNNNNUCCU